rnacentral:rRNA from 1 species
AUUGAACGCUGGCGGCAUGCUUUACACAUGCAAGUCGGACGGCAGCACAGAGAAGCUUGCUUCUUGGGUGGCGAGUGGCGAACGGGUGAGUAACAUAUCGGAACGUACCGAGUAAUGGGGGAUAACUAAUCGGAAGAUUAGCUAAUACCGCAUAUUCUCUGAGGAGGAAAGCAGGGGACCUUCGGGCCUUGCGUUAUUCGAGCGGCCGAUAUCUGAUUAGCUAGUUGGUGGGGUAAAGGCCUACCAAGGCAACGAUCAGUAGCGGGUCUGAGAGGAUGAUCCGCCACACUGGGACUGAGACACGGCCCAGACUCCUACGGGAGGCAGCAGUGGGGAAUUUUGGACAAUGGGCGCAAGCCUGAUCCAGCCAUGCCGCGUGUCUGAAGAAGGCCUUCGGGUUGUAAAGGACUUUUGUCAGGGAAGAAAAGGUUGUUGCUAAUAUCGACAGCUGAUGACG